ensembl:lncRNA
CCAGGAGCCCUUGGAGACCGAGUCCCGGCGGCGGCGGCGGCGGCGGGGCGGCAGCGCAGGCGGAUUCGUUUCAUCGCUUAAAACCUGAUAACGGUGGGCCACACAAAGUCUUACUGCCACACUAGUGUAUUUACCAUUUCUCUUGAGGACACCUCGUGCUGCUCACCCUUCUCUACUCAGAAAUCCUUCCCAUUCAGCAGGGCCCAGGAGAAUCUUCCUUCUCCAUAACGUGGCCUGCCCUGCCUGUUCCUCUAUCUGAGAUCCCUGCCCUGAACUCCUCAGAGCCAGACACAGCCUCUGUGAUUCGCUCGUCUUCACUGUGGCUCGUCUUUCUUCCUCCACGGCUUUGCCAGCGCUGUGAGAGCAGAGGCUACCUGUGCCUUCCUUGCAGUGUCAGCACAGGGCCUGCAGAACAGCAGGUGCGCAGUCAGCUGGGAAGCUGCAAGGACAGUGCAUCUGGUCACCCACCAGCAGCUCCUCAGGAUCAUACGAGGCACCUGUUGAAGUACAUGCUCAUGGUCGCUUCCACUGAGCCGUCCACAUUCAGUAAGUCUGGGGUGGACCCCAGGAAUCUUAAAGCACCCAGAUGGUUCUGAUAUGAUUGCUAUGCAGUUGGCAACCAUUUGUUAUGGAAAGAACCAGAGAUUUAUAUGGGACCUGGGUUUGAGGUCAGGCUCUGCAACUUUCUGGCUCUAGGACCUUGUAAACUCAACCUUUCUGAGCGUCAGUUUCCUCAUCCAUAAAAUGGGAAUGAUAUCUAACUCAAGGAUUGCCAAGAAGAUCAAAAAGGAUGAUGUAUGUGCCAGUGCUUAUAAACCAUAAAAUGUAGUCAAAAUGCAUUGAUUGAUUGUGGGUCUGCGGCCAGCCAGUGCUCAGAAAGGAGCAGUUACCUCCGUGGUGGUAGUCACGGUGGUGACACAGGAAUGGGCACUGAGUAGUGGAGUGGUGAUGGUGGUGGGAUGAAGCAUGACAGCAACGAUAGUCCUAAUUCGUGCCUACCGUUUAUUGAAUGCUGACUGUGUGCCAGGCACUGUGCUAACUUCUCUGCACAGAAUUUGAGAUUUACAGGAAGUCCCCAUUCGGUUGCAUCGGUACCAUAAUUACAGCCUAUCCCGUCAUUAGUGAACUAGUUCUUUGGUCUUUUCCUCUUCAAAAUACCUAGUUAAAAUGUACUCAUCUCUGAGAGGAGAAAUACUUGGUCAAGCUGCCAUCAACCAUUGACAGUUCAUCAGCAUCAAGUGCAAGGUCCUGUGCGAGUAUGAGCUGCUCCGCUCUGGUGGGAGGAAUUGGGGAUGGGAGAGCACCCAGCAGUACUAACGAGGAGUUGACACAGGGUGCGCAGGAACGGAGCAGAGGGCACCAGCCUCCCCAGGAAGGAUGGGGUGGAGGGAGAGGCGCAGACGCACAGGAGGCAGGAAUGCAGGGAGGGCAGGACUGAGACAGCUGCUGACUUGACUGUGGCCCAGUGCUGUUCCUGGUCCAAGGCCACCACCUUCCCAGGCUGCCCACUUGGAGCGUCACUGUGACAGGGGCCACAGCAGACAGUGUUUGUAAGAUUGCGC